rnacentral:tRNA from 1 species
UCCCUGGUGGCCUAAUGGUUAGGAUUCUGCACUUUCACUGCUGGGGCCCAGGUUCAACCCCUCGUCAGGGAA